rnacentral:piRNA from 1 species
UNGCCUUAUGAUCAUAGAGAUACACUAGGC